UGAGGGAUAUUGGUCAAUGGGCGCAAGCCUGAACCAGCGACGCCGCGUGGGUGAAGAAGGUCUUCGGAUCGUAAAGCCCUUUUCCCACUGAAGAGGAAGGACGGUAGGUGGGGAAGAAGUCUCGGCUAACUACGUGCCAGCAGCCGCGGUAAAACGUAGGAGACAAGCGUUAUCCGGAGUUACUGGGCGUAAAGGGCGUGCAGGUGGCGUCUUAAGUCUGUUGUGAAAGCGCCUGGCUUAACCGGGCGAGGCCAAUGGAGACUGAGAGGCUGGAGGACGGCGGAGGGGUGUGGAAUUCCGGGUGUAGUGGUGAAAUGCGUAGAGAUCCGGAGGAACACCAGAGGCGAAGGCGGCACUCUAAGCCGUACCUGACACUGAGACGCGACAGCACGGGGAGC
rnacentral:rRNA from 1 species